ensembl:lncRNA
CGACGCAGGAAUAUAUUCAUUUUAAAGAGCCUCUGAUGGUCCACGCAGAGCACUGCGGUGCGCUCACUGCAGGCCCCAUCAAAAGAGCUUCCCUUCUGAGGCACACUGAUGAAUAUUCUGUGUGGCAACAGAAACUCUGACAAAGCCCCAAAAUGUGCCAUUUCAAGUCAGUGCCCAGACUGGACUGAGGUCUCUGCGCCUGGUGGCUGACCUGUUGGACAGGCUCAGAGUCUCCCUCCCGACCAGGCUCAGUACUGCAGCAAGCAGCGUGGUAGCUGGAAUACCAGAACGUGGGGUUUUCCCGGAUCUUCGGAUAUCUCCAAAGUGUGUAAUUAGAGGACAGGGACACCUGCUGACCUUUGAUGGUCUUACUAAUUUAGUUUUUGC